GAAUUUUAUAAAUUAAGAAUAAAGAUUAGAGUUUUUAAAAAAUUUUAAAUUUAUUUAGUUGGGGGGAUUGUUAAAUUAUAUAAACUUUAAUUAUAAGAUAAAGUCAUAUAUAUUAGUGAUAAUAAAGAAUAGUAUAUAAAUUAAAUAAGAAUUAAUUACCUUAGGGAUAACAGCGUAAUAUUAUUAGAGAGAUCUUAUUAAUAAUAGUGAUUGC
rnacentral:rRNA from 1 species